CGCGUAGGCGGUUUGGUAAGUUUGAUGUGAAAGCCCUGGGCUUAACCCGGGAACUGCAUUGGAUACUGCCAGACUAGAGUGUUGUAGGGGAUGAUGGAAUUAUGCAUGGAGAGGUGGAAUUCAUAGAUAUGCAUAGGAACACCAGUAGCGAAGGCGAUCAUCUGGACAACAACUGACGUUGAGGCGCGAAAGCGUGGGGAGCAAACA
rnacentral:rRNA from 1 species